rnacentral:rRNA from 1 species
CCGGUGGCCUAACCGUUGUGGGGGAGCCGUCGAAGGUGGGACUGGUGAUUAGGACUAAGUCGUAACAAGGUAGCCGUACCGGAAGGUGCGGCUGGAUCACCUCCUUUCUAAGGAG